AGAGUUUGAUCCUGGCUCAGGACGAACGCUGGCGGCGUGCUUAACACAUGCAAGUCGAACGGAAAGGCCCCUUCGGGGGUACUCGAGUGGCGAACGGGUGAGUAACACGUGGGUAAUCUGCCCUGCACUUCGGGAUAAGCCUGGGAAACUGGGUCUAAUACCGGAUAGGACCUAGAGGCGCAUGCCUUGUGGUGGAAAGCUUUUGCGGUGUGGGAUGGGCCCGCGGCCUAUCAGCUUGUUGGUGGGGUGACGGCCUACCAAGGCGACGACGGGUAGCCGGCCUGAGAGGGUGUCCGGCCACACUGGGACUGAGAUACGGCCCAGACUCCUACGGGAGGCAGCAGUGGGGAAUAUUGCACAAUGGGCGCAAGCCUGAUGCAGCGACGCCGCGUGGGGGAUGACGGCCUUCGGGUUGUAAACCUCUUUCACCAUCGACGAAGGUUCGGGUUUUCUCGGAUUGACGGUAGGUGGAGAAGAAGCACCGGCCAACUACGUGCCAGCAGCCGCGGUAAUACGUAGGGUGCGAGCGUUGUCCGGAAUUACUGGGCGUAAAGAGCUCGUAGGUGGUUUGUCGCGUUGUUCGUGAAAUCUCACGGCUUAACUGUGAGCGUGCGGGCGAUACGGGCAGACUAGAGUACUGCAGGGGAGACUGGAAUUCCUGGUGUAGCGGUGGAAUGCGCAGAUAUCAGGAGGAACACCGGUGGCGAAGGCGGGUCUCUGGGCAGUAACUGACGCUGAGGAGCGAAAGCGUGGGGAGCGAACAGGAUUAGAUACCCUGGUAGUCCACG
rnacentral:rRNA from 1 species